rnacentral:lncRNA from 1 species
GGGCAUUGUAAAUGCCUGUGAGCUUCAGGUCAUAAUGCAUCAGGCCAGCCAGCCUUCAGUCAGGCCCAGUCUAGCCUCAGUUUCCACCCCCUUGAGAGGCACAAUGUAGGACAGUCGAGAAACACGCACAAAUAGGAUAGUAUAUGUUUCAUUUGUCCUGAAUGGAAGACAGAAGUCUUGUCUGAGGAACUCUGCGAGGGUUGAUCCACUCCAGUGCAAGAAGCAUGAUUCAGUCAGUCAGCAAUGGCAACAGUCCCAAUAGUUUCAGUGGAGGGGUUGUCUGUCAUUCCACAGUGUUACAGUACACCACCAACAACAGGCUAAUGAAGCCUUCAUGGGCAACAUAGCAUCCACAGUCAUACGUACUGUACAUCUUCAAAUUCAUGAUUCAUCAAUUCAUGUUCAAUUCAUUACUUGUUUGCAGACGGCCCAAAAGUUCAGGAGGACUCGUGGCCUAGGCACUAUGUUUACUUUGACACACAUAUAAUAUGUACACACACACACACAGAUACACACACAUACACACACACACACACAAGCAACAUAAGAUAUCAGUUAAAACAGCAGAUAUGAAACCUUAGUUCUUUGGUUACCCCUGACGACAUAUCACAGUGACUUGGAUAACCAAUCCGGAUAUCAGUGAGUUAUCAACACUAGUACAUUCUGGAUCCACACACCCCAGAUGACAACUCUGUCACCAUUACAGGAAGAUCUGGUGUUUCAACAGGAUCAGCUGCUGAGCUGAUUGAAUGAUACUAGCGUUAGAUAAACACGUGUGGGUCAUGUCUAUCCAUCUACACGCUCUCUAGCUAAAAUAACGCAGCAGGAAACUUGGAUGUGUGCGUUUGACUUUCAGUGAACAACGAUAUUGAAUGAUGAUAUGCCUUCAUAAAACGCAUGGGACAGAUAUGUUAAAGGGAAAGCAGAUGUUUAUACCCACAGACAGAACACAUGAUCGGAAGUCUAGUGGAACAGAGGGAGGGUGAGAAUGAGAGAAGAGCUGGUUUUCGGCCUCAGCUGUUGAGCGCUGACAGCUGCCCCUGGUCUAGUAGGAACUGUUCUGGAUCUGGCCCUGGUCUAGUAGGAACUGUUCUGGAUCUGGGCCUGGUCUAGUAGGAACUGUUCUGGAUCUGGCCCUGGUCUAGUAGGAACUGUUCUGGAUCUGGCCCUGGUCUAGUAGGAACUGUUCUG